UACGUAGGGUGCGAGCGUUAAUCGGAAUUACUGGGCGUAAAGCGUGCGCAGGCGGCUUUUUAAGCCAGAUGUGAAAUCCCCGGGCUUAACCUGGGAACUGCAUUUGUGACUGCAAGGCUAGAGUACGGCAGAGGGGGGUAGAAUUCCACGUGUAGCAGUGAAAUGCGUAGAUAUGUGGAGGAAUACCGAUGGCGAAGGCAGCCCCCUGGGUCGAUACUGACGCUCAUGCACGAAAGCGUGGGGAGCAAACAGG
rnacentral:rRNA from 1 species